rnacentral:rRNA from 1 species
GUUGGCGACGUGGAUUAGGCAUGCAAGUCGAGCGAGAAUCGUCACAUUGAAGCUUCGGUGGAUUUGUGACGAGGACAGCGGCAGACGGGGUAGUCAUACAUAGGUUACGUACCCUCAGGUCCGGGAUAGCCACGGGAAACUGUGAUUAAUACCGGAUAAUCUCUGCGGAGCAAAGGUGAGAUUCCGCCUGAGGAGCGGCUUAUGCGUUACUAGGUUGUUGGUGAGGUAACGGCUCACCAAGCCUUUGAUGACCAGGGGGUGUGAGAGCAUGGCCCCCACCACUGGGACUGAGACACUGCCCAGACACCUACGGGUGGCUGCAGUCGAGAAUCUUCGGCAAUGGACGCAAGUCUGACCGAGCGACGUCGCGUGCGGGAUGAAGGCCCUCGGGUUGUAAACCGCUGUCAGAGGGGAGGAAAUCAUAGAAGGCUAUCCUUCUAUGUUGACCGAGCCUCAGAGGAAGCACGGGCUAAGUUCGUGCCAGCAGCCGCGGUAAUACGAACUGUGCGAACGUUAUUCGGAAUCACUGGGCUUAAAGGGUGCGUAGGCGGUUAUUUAAGUAGGAUGUGAAAUCUCCCGGCUCAACCGGGGAACUGCGUUCUAAACUGGAUAACUUGAGUGAGAUAG